GUCCUUUCAGAGCGGGUGCUGGGUUCCUGAAAUCUCAUGUACGGAGGGCAGGAAGGGACAGAUGGGUUUCACUGAUGCCCUCUUUCGGCUGUGUCAGUUUGAGGGAGGGUGAGUGUGCGGUAGAGGGCAGAGGUGAAGUAUUUCCUCUGCAGCCGCUUGCAGAUCCGUGGCAUCUCUGCAUACUGCAGCUCACCUCCCGUGGCGGUGGAGCUGCACGCUGGCCCAGCUGACAGUGGGCUUGUUCAUGGUCUGCUGCACACAUGCGAGGGAAGAUUUUUAAUGAUGCUGAGAGAUGGAUGGCAAUGGAAAUUACUAUCACGUCCCACCCUCUGGCCUCUUGGUGCGCCUGUGUGGGGUGGGGUGGAGAUGGGGAGGAAGCAAACCCAGGCACUGCAGCCGGGCUCCUGGCCACUUCCAGGAGGCCAACACGGAGUUCCGGUUUCUGGCUUGAGAGCCCACCUGGGAGGACCUGCCGCCGGGCUGCUGGAUACAGGGAGGCUCAGCACUCAGCGGACACUACACAGCAGGCAGUGUAGACCACACACGGGCCGGCCUCAGCAAGAGGCAGAGGACCCAGCCGAAGACCCCACGUGAGAGCUAAGAGGGGCAGGAGACUGUCUCCCCCCACCCCGCUUUGGAAAGCAGCCACACUUGACCUCUCUGCAGACAAAAGCUGGGGCCGGACUGGCACCGUGCGAUCCAGCAGCCACAGCCCCACUCGCAGCCGGCUGUCUGAACGGACGCGUGCUGUGUGGGUAAAACACGACGGGCUUCUGCCGGCUUGGUAUGAUAAAACCAAGGCAAAAGAGCUCAUUAAUAAUUUUCGCAUUGAUUGUAUGUUGAAAUGAUAAUAUUUUCAAUAUAUUGGAUUAAAUAAAA
rnacentral:lncRNA from 1 species